rnacentral:tRNA from 1 species
GCACGAUUAGCUCAGUUGGUAGAGCACGCCCUUGACGUGGGCGGGGUCAGAGGUUCGAAUCCUCUAUCGUGCA